AAUUAUCUAAACAUAAGAAACAUAAAUACAAUCGCAUGCAAUAAUAUCAUACAGUAACUACCAUAACUAACAACCAUAGGGGGGACAUAAGCUAAAACAUAAAUUAUCUAUGGGUACCCUGCUGACCCACACCCAACCCCGGAUGAGGCGUACGAAGAACUCUUGGAGCCCCUAACCUACAACCCUGAUUCUAGACCUCCAGACUCUCCUAUCAAGGGUCAUGUCCUUGGAAACCUGCAUUCUA
rnacentral:lncRNA from 1 species